rnacentral:rRNA from 1 species
UACGUAGGGUGCGAGCGUUAAUCGGAAUUACUGGGCGUAAAGCGCACGUAGGUGGUUUUAUAAGUCGGAUGUGAAAGCCCCGGGCUUAACCUGGGAAUUGCAUCUGAUACUGUCUGACUAGAGUAUGCUAGAGGGAAGUGGAAUUCCAGGUGUAGCGGUGAAAUGCGUAGAUAUCUGGAGGAACACCAAUGGCGAAGGCAACUUCCUGGGGCAAUACUGACACUGAUGUGCGAAAGCGUGGGGAGCAAACAGG